rnacentral:lncRNA from 1 species
GUUCCUCCUUAUGGAGGGCUUGUCCACUCUGCUCCCUCUUUUUUUUAUUUUUCUUUCUGCAAUGAGACGCGCCUUGAUGCUUUUGUCUCCCGAUGGCAGUGUCCUGCCGAAGCGCUUCCCUUGCCACAGGGGAUUCCGCUGAAGUCCACGAUCUAACGUCUGAAAAAGAAAGUUCGUCAUUUAACAAAAAGGUCGAAGGAUAUGGAGGGCGAACUUCGCAGGUUG